GGUGCUCUGAGCAAGCUCUGCUCGCUCUCUCCUCCUCUGUCUCUGUCUGUGUGUCUGUCUCUCUCCCUCUCUCUCUCUGUGUCUCUCUCUGUCUGUCUCUCUGUCUCUGUCUCUGUGUCUGUGGUCUGUCUGUCUGUCUCUCGUCGGCUCACGCUGGAUCGCUCGCUCUCUCGCGCUCUCUGUCUCUCUCCCUGCGCGCCCCACCCCCCCGGCCCUCUCUGUCUCUGUCUCUGUCUUUUUCCAGCUCUCUCUCCUGUUCCCACUUCAACUGCGGCCUGGCCCCAGCCAGAGGAGGAUUGUGUGAUCUCCCUGGCUGAGCCCUACCCAUUGCUCUUCUGUGAGCAGACCCUUCCACCUUCCAGGGAAAGCAGCUCUAGGAAUGUGUGUUUCCCAAAGCUGCUUGUUUCCACUUGUGCUCUCCCUCCCCCCACAGGCUCAGCAGGGAUGUGCCGCCCACGGUCGAGCUUCCGCUCCUGAGAGCGUGCCUGAAGGACUACUUCUGGACAUGUGCCAUGGAUGUCGGCCAGUCCGCGUCCUGCUGGACUCAGUCGAGCAGUGCCAUCUUCUGCUUCCAGGGCCUGGCCGUCUCCUCCCUGGCAGACACCCCCAGCCAACACACCGAUCCGGAGGACGACGGGGGCGUCCAAGACGGCCUGUGUUGCAGGUAAUUCGGAAGAAUCCCGGGACUCCGUUGGAAGGGGCCAUCUGGGCAUCUCCAAUCGAGGGAAUUCAGCGAGCGCUGACUAUCCCCGUUUCCCCCACGCACGCAACCGCCAAGUGUCCCUUUCCCAGAGUGCUCUGUGUUUCUCACCGUGGUCCUCAGAUGGGCCAAUUCCGUGAUCUCUCUCCAGCGUGGUCACGGGCAGUCAGAUGCCGGAGGUGUGCUCAUCUGUCAGCGGAUGGCGUGCGCUCUCCCGUUCUCUCUUUCUUCUGUCACCCAGCGGAGGACGCAUGUCUGCCUCUGCCCGGUUGCUGUUCCCACGGUGGCGGCUAUUUCCUGGCCAAGACAGACAUUUGUGACCAAAGUCCGCAUCAGGCCCCAGUAGGGAGAGAAGCAGACCUUGCAGCUUCCAGAUUUCUAGGAGUCGACAGUGGUUCCAGAGCCAGGCAGGGUUCACUUGGCAGCUGUCUGUCCAUUUUCACAUUUCGUUUUUAUUUUCUCUUUCUGUCUCUCGGAUACCAAGAUCUCUGGAACUAAGAAAAGAUAUUACUGAUUUGAAAGAAUCCACAUCACAAAAAGUACCAUUUUCACUUGAUGAAAAAUAUCUAAAACAGCAAAUCAAUUUAAAACCCAAAAAGAACAGUCAAGGGAUCCUAUGCUGAAGAUCAACAUCGCAACCACAAAGCACUCUCCAAAGUUUUUACUGCAAAGGCUGGUAUGACGGGAAAAAUCCCAGCCCUUCAGCUUCCAAUUGUGCUGAGUCACUGAGGAGACCCACACAUGGUUAUGAGAGACCUUAACCCUUGCUGCUCUCAGUUCCCAUCCUGCACAUCAGCAGAAUCAGGAGCAACUGGCAGAAGACAACAUGACAGACCGGGCGUUCUGUGCCACCCGCUGGGCUGUGCGAGGAGCAGACAGCACUAACUAUGCAGUGCUCUUGCUGACAACGUUUAGCCUGAAUUCAGUCAUGAGGGAGUCCUGAGACAAGUGCAGAAUUUAGACCACUGCACAAGACAACUGGCCUCACCUCUACUAACAAGGCAACAUCACCACAAAUGAGAUAGCAAAAGGCAGAGAGACU
rnacentral:lncRNA from 1 species